rnacentral:rRNA from 1 species
CUUCCUACGGGAGGCUGCAGUGGGGAAUCUUGCGCAAUGGGCGAAAGCCUGACGCAGCCAUGCCGCGUGAAUGAUGAAGGUCUUAGGAUUGUAAAAUUCUUUCACCGGGGACGAUAAUGACGGUACCCGGAGAAGAAGCCCCGGCUAACUUCGUGCCAGCAGCCGCGGUAAUACGAAGGGGGCUAGCGUUGCUCGGAAUUACUGGGCGUAAAGGGAGCGUAGGCGGACAUUUAAGUCAGGGGUGAAAUCCCGGGGCUCAACCUCGGAAUUGCCUUUGAUACUGGGUGUCUUGAGUAUGAGAGAGGUGUGUGGAACUCCGAGUGUAGAGGUGAAAUUCGUAGAUAUUCGGAAGAACACCAGUGGCGAAGGCGACACACUGGCUCAUUACUGACGCUGAGGCUCGAAAGCGUGGGGAGCAAACAGGAUUAGAUACCCUUGUAGUCGAAUUCUU